UACGGGGGGUGCAAGCGCUAAUCGGAAUUACUGGGCGUAAAGCGUGCGUAGGUGGUUUGAUAAGUUAUCUGUGAAAUCCCUGGGCUUAACCUAGGAAGGUCAGAUAAUACUGUUAAACUAGAGUAUAGGAGAGGGUAGUGGAAUUUCUAGUGUAGCGGUGAAAUGCGUAGAGAUUGGAAGGAACACCAGUGGCGAAGGCGGCUACCUGGCCUGAUACUGACACUGAGGCAAGAAAGCGUGGGGAGCAAACAGG
rnacentral:rRNA from 1 species